GAGUAUGGCGAGCGAAAUCGGAAGAGCCUUUACGUUUUAGCAUGCAAGAUAGUCGAACGGAAUGGAAAGUCCGGCCGUAGCAGGUGAUAGCCCUGUAGAUGAAAUCUUGUGUGUGGAACUAAGCGUAAGACAAGUAGGGCGGGACACGUGAAAUCCUGUUUGAAGAUGGGGGGACCAUCCUCCAAGGCUAAAUACUCGUGAUCGACCGAUAGUGAACCAGUACCGUGAGGGAAAGGCGAAAAGAACCCCGGAAGGGGAGUGAAAUAGAUCCUGAAACCGUAUGCAUACAAACAGUAGGAGCCUCCUUGUGGGGUGACUGCGUACCUUUUGUAUAAUGGGUCAGCGACUUACAUUCAGUGGCAAGGUUAACCGAAUAGGGAAGCCGUAGCGAAAGCGAGUCCGAAUAGGGCGAUUCAGUCGCUGGGUGUAGACCCGAAACCAGAUGAUCUAUCCAUGGCCAGGUUGAAGGCACGGUAACACGUGCUGGAGGACCGAACCCACUAAUGUUGAAAAAUUAGGGGAUGAGCUGUGGAUAGGGGUGAAAGGCUAAACAAAUCUGGAAAUAGCUGGUUCUCUCCGAAAACUAUUUAGGUAGUGCCUCAAGUAUUACUGCGGGGGGUAGAGCACUGUUAUAGCUAGGGGGUCAUGGCGACUUACCAAACUAUGGCAAACUCCGAAUACCCGCAAGUACAGCUUGGGAGACAGAGCACCGGGUGCUAACGUCCGGACUCAAGAGGGAAACAACCCAGACCGCCAGCUAAGGUCCCGAAUUAUCGCUAAGUGGGAAACGAAGUGGGAAGGCAUAGACAGUCAGGAGGUUGGCUUAGAAGCAGCCAUCCUUUAAAGAAAGCGUAAUAGCUCACUGAUCGAGUCGUCCUGCGCGGAAGAUGUAACGGGGCUAAGCGAUUAACCGAAGCUGCGGGUGUGCACUUUUAGUGCACGCGGUAGGAGAGCGUUCUGUAAGCCUGCGAAGGUGGCUUGUAAAGGCUGCUGGAGGUAUCAGAAGUGCGAAUGCUGACAUGAGUAGCGAUAAAGGGGGUGAAAAGCCCCCUCGCCGUAAGUCCAAGGUUUCCUGCGCAACGUUCAUCGGCGCAGGGUGAGUCGGCCCCUAAGGCGAGGCAGAGAUGCGUAGUCGAUGGGAACAGGGUUAAUA
rnacentral:rRNA from 1 species